CCUACGGGUGGCAGCAGUGAGGAAUAUUGGUCAAUGGGCUUACACCUGAACCAGCCAAGCCGCGUGAGGGAAGACUGCCCUCUGGGUUGUAAACUUCUUUUGUCAGGGAGCAAUUGGCGCUACGUGUAGCGUUAUCGAGAGUAGCUAAAGAAAAAGCAUCGGCUAACUCCGUGCCAGCAUCCGCGGUAAUACGGAGGAUGCGGGCGUGAUCCGGAUUGAUUGGGUUUAAAGGGUGCGUAGGCGGAAUGCCAAGUCAGCGGUAAAAUCGCGGGGCUCAACCUCGCUCCGCCGUUGAAACUGGCGUGCUUGAGUGGGCGAGAGGGAUGUGGAAUGCGGGGUGUAGCGGUGAAAUGCGUAGAUAUCACGCAGAACUCCGAUUGCGAAGGCAGCAUACCGGCGCCGGACUGACGCUGAGGCACGAAAGCGUGGGGAUCGAACAGGAUUAGAUACCCGGGUAGUC
rnacentral:rRNA from 1 species